CCUACGGGUGGCAGCAGUGAGGAAUAUUGGUCAAUGGACGCAAGUCUGAACCAGCCAAGCAGCGUGCAGGAUGACUGCCCUAUGAGUUGUAAACUUCUUUUAUAAAGGAAUAAACCGCGGUACGUGUGCCUUUUUGAAUGUAUUUUAUGAAUAAGGAUCGGCUAACUCCGUGCCAGCAGCCGCGGUAAUACGGAGGAUCCGAGCGUUAUCCGGAUUUAUUGGGUUUAAAGGGAGCGUAGAUGGGUUGUUAAGUUAGUGGUGAAAGUUUGCGGCUCAACCGUAAAAUUGCAAUUGAUACUGGCAGACUUGAGAACAGUUGAGGUAGGCGGAAUGCGUGGUGUAGCGGUGAAAUGCUUAGAUAUCACAAAGAACACCGAUUGCGAAGGCAGCUUACUAAACUAUCACUGACAUUGAUGCUCGAAAGUGUGGGUAUCAAACAGGAUUAGAUACCCGGGUAGUC
rnacentral:rRNA from 1 species